rnacentral:rRNA from 1 species
GUGGGGAAUAUUGCACAAUGGGGGAAACCCUGAUGCAGCAACGCCGCGUGAGUGAAGAAGUCAUUCGUGAUGUAAAGCUCUAUCAGCAGGGAAGAAAAUGACGGUACCUGAGUAAGAAGCCCCGGCUAACUACGUGCCAGCAGCCGCGGUAAUACGUAGGGGGCAAGCGUUAUCCGGAUUUACUGGGUGUAAAGGGAGCGUAGACGGCCAGACAAGUCUGAAGUGAAAAUCCAGCGCUUAACGUUGGAAGUGCUUUGGAAACUGCCGGGCUAGAGUGCAGGAGGGGCAGGCGGAAUUCCUAGUGUAGCGGUGAAAUGCGUAGAUAUUAGGAGGAACACCAGUGGCGAAGGCGGCCUGCUGGACUGCAACUGACGUUGAGGCUCGAAGGCGUGGGGAGCAAACAGGA